rnacentral:rRNA from 1 species
UACAGAGGUCUCAAGCGUUGUUCGGAUUCAUUGGGCGUAAAGGGUGCGUAGGCGGCGCGGUAAGUCGGAUGUGAAAUCUUGGAGCUUAACUCCGAAACUGCAUUCGAUACUGCUUUGCUUGAGGACUGGAGAGGAGAUUGGAAUUCACGGUGUAGCAGUGAAAUGCGUAGAUAUCGUAAGGAAGACCAGUGGCGAAGGCGGGUCUCGGGACAGUUCCUGACGCUGAGGCACGAAGGUCAGGGGAGCAAACGGG